GGCCUCCUGAUGCUUACCACAGGCUGUGUUCUUACACUGUACAGAAAAAGAAGGCAGAACAAUACAAAUACUUCAGCAUAGGCUCUGGCCCCGGUCUAUGUUGUGAAUGGAGGAACACGG
rnacentral:snoRNA from 1 species